GGAGGGUACAGCUCAGUGGUGGAGUGUGUGCUUAGCAAGCAUGAGAUCUUGGGUUCAAUCCUCAGUCCCUCCA
rnacentral:tRNA from 1 species